CUGCAGUGUCAGAAAAUGUCAUAGUUCUGAGUUUUAAAUCGAGGGUUUAAAGCAGAACAGCAGCUAUAGUGUCAAAGCUCCAGAGUUUAAACUCAAGAGUCAUUACUGGAUACUUACUAGCAGGAUCUGCCAUUGGACCCAGAGGCUUGAAUUUUGUCAGUGAAAUAGUUCAAGAGGCUUGUCUUUAUUCCUAUUUUGCUUGAUUGAUUCUUUCUUUGCGCUUCCCC